rnacentral:tRNA from 1 species
GCCUGGGUGGCUCAGUUGGUUUAGCGUCCGACUUUGACUUGGGUCAUAACCUCACAGUUUGUGGGUUCAAGUCUCACAUCUGGCU